GUGUUGUAUGAAAGGAGAAAAGGUUAGCACUCACCUUGACAAAGAUGGAAGAGGGUCUUGGGCCUAAUCACACACAUAUGGUUAGGACCUUGCCUCCUACUUCAUGGCAUCUAACCACUGUUUUUA